CCUACGGGAGGCAGCAGUGAGGAAUAUUGGACAAUGGGCGCAAGCCUGAUCCAGCCAUGCCGCGUGCAGGAUGACGGUCCUAUGGAUUGUAAACUGCUUUUAUACGGGAAGAAACCCUGGCUCGUGAGCCAGAUUGACGGUACCGUAAGAAUAAGGAUCGGCUAACUCCGUGCCAGCAGCCGCGGUAAUACGGAGGAUCCAAGCGUUAUCCGGAAUCAUUGGGUUUAAAGGGUCCGUAGGCGGUUUAAUAAGUCAGUGGUGAAAGCCCAUCGCUCAACGGUGGAACGGCCAUUGAUACUGUUAGACUUGAAUUAUUAGGAAGUAACUAGAAUAUGUAGUGUAGCGGUGAAAUGCUUAGAGAUUACAUGGAAUACCAAUUGCGAAGGCAGGUUACUACUAAUUGAUUGACGCUGAUGGACGAAAGCGUGGGUAGCGAACAGGAUUAGAUACCCUGGUAGUCCACGCCGUAAACGAUGGAUACUAGCUGUUGGGAGUAAUCUCAGUGUGUAGACGAAGUAGUAGUAAGUAUACCACCGUACGGGUAGGUACGUUACGUCGAAGAAGUAGUAAACGUUAAAGUAAGUAGUAGUACGUGUAGAGAGACGACGACGACGACGAGGAGGAGGAGG
rnacentral:rRNA from 1 species